AUGUCACCGUCUUCGUCGCUCUACUCCGGCCGCCUCCUUUUCUCCCGUCCGGCGUCCAAGGGGCUCGUACGUCGUCUCCUCGCUCGCGAUGGGAGCAGGUGGGUCAGGCCGUCGUGCUCCCUGUCUAUGAACGGUUGCGCAGCCGGCGCCAGCGACUUCGGCGCGGUGACCAUGUGCGAGACGAGGGCCCUGCCGGCCGCGUCGGCGCCGCAGGAGGCCGUGGGGCAGCUCAGGGCCGCCGUCGCCGCGCUCAACGCCGACCCGCCGGCGUCCUCCUCCGGCAUCAUCCGCAUCGAGGUGCCGAUUCGGCAGCGAGGGGACGCCAUCGAGUGGCUGCAAGCGCAGAGGCAGAGCUCCCUGCCCCGCUGCUUCUUCUCCGCCCGGGCACCGCUGCCGGAUACGCCGGCGCUCGCCGUGGGCAGCAGCAGCAACGGCAACGGUAGCCACAAGGAGCAGUGGGAGCAGCCGGUGAGCGUCGCCGGCGUGGGGUCGGCGGUCUUCUUCCGCGGCACGGACCCCUUCUCUCUCCACGACUGGCGAGCCAUCAAGAGAUUUCUUUCAAGGGAUUGCCCGAUGAUCCGCGCCUACGGCGCCAUCCGCUUCGACGCGUCGAGCGACGCCUCGGUCGAAUGGGAAGACUAUGGCGCAUUCUACUUCGUUGUUCCACAAGUUGAGUUCAGUGAGCUCGAGGAGGGCUCGGUUCUAGCGACGACGAUUGCGUGGGAUGACUCGCUUUCUUGGACAUAUCAGAGCGCAGUGGACGAGCUCCAAUCAACAUUGCACGAGAUAUCACCGUGUUCAGUUAAGGUGAACAGGUCCACGCUACAAACCGCCAUCGUAAAUCUCAAUCAUGUCCCCACCAAGGCGUCUUGGGAUCUUGCUGUUACUCAAGCUCUUCGGAUGAUCAAAGGGAGCCAAACGGAAUUAGUCAAGGUUGUGCUAGCAAGGUGCAGCAGGUACAUCACUGAUACUUGCAUCGACCCUCUGGAGCUGUUAGCUUGUCUGAAGGUUGAGGGCCAGAAUGCCUACCAGUUCUGCAUACAGCCACCUGAUGCUCCUGCAUUUGUUGGAAAUAGUCCAGAGCAACUAUUUCACCGGAAAUACUUGAACAUUUCCAGCGAGGCUUUAGCCGGUACGCGAGCAAGAGGGAAAACAAGGGCUGAUGAUUUUCAAAUUGGCCAGGAAUUGCUUCUAAGCAUCAAAGAGGACACUGAAUUUACUAUUGUACGGGACAGCAUAAAGAAGAAGCUUGAGAUGAUCUGUGAUGAGGUUGUUGUCAAUCCCAGCAAGGCCCUUCGGAAACUUCCAAGAGUACAACAUUUGUCAGCUCAAUUAGCUGCAAGAUUAAGAAAUGAGGACGACGAGUUUGACAUCCUAAAUGCUCUUCAUCCAAGCCCAGCUGUUUGUGGUUUGCCCACUGAAGAAGCGCGCCAAUUCAUACGAGAUUAUGAAAUCUUCGACCGUGGAAUGUAUGCUGGACCUGUUGGUUGGUUUGGUGGAGCUGAAAGUGAGUUUGCUGUUGGGAUUAGAUCAGCACUACUUGGAAAAGGAUAUAGCACUUUAGUUUAUGCCGGUGCCGGGAUUGUCGAAGGUACAAAUCCAUCUUUUGAAUGGGAUGAGCUUGAUCUCAAAGCAUCUCAGUUUGCAAAGUUGUUGCAGUAUCAAGAACAUCAUAUUUGCUACCAAGAGGCAGGAAACAUGGGGACAUUGAUUUGA
rnacentral:rRNA from 1 species